rnacentral:rRNA from 1 species
AUUGAACGCUGGCGGCAGGCCUAACACAUGCAAGUCGAACGAGUGGCGGACGGGUGAGUAAUGUCUGGGAAACUGCCUGAUGGAUGGGGAUAACUACUGGAAAGGGUAGCUAAUACCGCAUACCAUCAGAUGUUCCCAGAUGGGAUUAGCUAGUUGGUGGGGUAACGGCUAACCAAGGCGACGAUCCCUAGCUGGUCUGAGAGGAUGACCAGCCACACUGGAACUGAGACAUGGUCCAGAUGCCGACGGGAGGCAGCAGUGGGGAAUAUUGCACAAUGGGCGCAAUCCUGAUGCAGCCAUGCCGCGUGUAUGAAGAAGGCCUUCGGGUUGUAAAGUACUUUCAGCGGGGAGGCGUUACCCGCAGAAGAAGCACCGGCUAACUCCGGGCCAGCAGCCGCGGUAAUUC